GCAGUGGUAUGAUGGAGAAGGGUGUGUGCUUCCAUCUGUGAAACCCCAGAAAGCCCUAGGAUAUGGGGCUCCCUGCCUCACCCUAAAGCUUGCAGAUGUAUACUAAUGAAUGACAGAUUGGCCAAGUUAUGGGUCUGGAGUCAAGAGUACAACUCCCACAGUCCACAUGGCCAUGCUGAGCAUAGAAUUCAAGGAAUUAUAGUCGCCCCUCCCCAAAGGGAUUCUGGAGGUUGCAGUCUAGAAAAGUAAUUUCCCCAAACUCUGGUUAUGGUUGGAGACAGAGGAUUAACUUGGACCUACUCCUGAUCUGAUUCAGAACAGAAAGAUAUUCUACAGCAAGUCAGAAUCAACAUAGGAACAAGAUGGAGGAAAUUAUGUGAUGUAUCAAUUCAAAAUAAAAAGAAAAGGGUCAUAUAUACA
rnacentral:lncRNA from 1 species